ACACAAGCGAGAGAGAGGGGGUGUUGACUUACCUGGUUGUUUGCUCACCUGUUGUUGUUUUGCCUUUGUUUAUUUCUAAUUCUGUGUUUAGUUAUUGUGUGUUAAGUUGUUCGCUUUGUGAACUGUUCUAUACAGUCAUCGAGGUCUAUGCUGUGACUCGACUUUCAGUUUAACGGUGCCUAUUCCAUUCCUUCUCCGAUAAAUAGUGAUUGGGACCAGGUUAGUUUGUCACGUGACUUGCACGCAGAGCGAAACUGUUUAGACACACUAGGUUAUGAGCGGAUGCCAAUCCUUGUACUUCUGUUAUUAGGCAGCGUAGUUAGUGGCGUUCUACGCUGAAGAUGUUGCUUUCCUGUUUUCUUUUGUUAGUUAAGUAUUUGUACCUGAGAUUUAGUUGAUGUGUUUGUUUUAUUGAGUUAUUUUCUUUAGCACCGCUCUUGUCCCUCACUUUCUUUUUUGUGUUUGUAUAUAGUUUGUAAAUACACACGCUCGACCAGACUCAGCUUCUGUCUCUGCCUGUUUACUUGAACACACACCACAAUUUACCAAUUGAACGGAGGCUUUCUUAGGACCGCUUUUUUUUUUUUUUUAAAUAACUAAGUUUUCACGUGUUACGUCCGCAUAUCCUCUAGACCCAUAGCAGGACGUAACAGUUUUAUCGAUCAGUCAUGUCUGAAUUAGUAUCUGAUUAUGCAAACUACGUUGAGACGAGAGGACCGCGUACAGAGAGGGUGGUGGAAAUCUUUAAGAAUGCUGAGAGAGGCCAUAACCUUAAAGAGGAGAAAAUCAACAAUAAGAAAAGCAUACAGACUGGACAAACAGGAUUCAAAGCAGGGGGCAGAUGUUAAACUGACUGCAGUGUGUGUGCUGCUGCUUUAUGUUCUCUUGCUGACUGCCAUCACAGUGCUGUGGAUCCAAAACAACAAGCUGAAUAGAGAAAAAGCUCAGUUACAGACCAAUUACAGCAACCUGAAUAUAGAGAGAGACCACUUACAGACCAGAUUAUACAACAUGAAAAAUGAGGAGAACCAGUUAAAAUUUCAGAAAGACCAGCUACUGAGCCAUAAAUACCAGUUAGAGUUGGAAAGAAACCAGUUACAGAAUCAAAGACAUCAAGACUGAAGAAAAUAAUUUUAAUCCUUGGAUGGAGAUUUUUCAACAAGAGCAUUUACAACAUUUCUACUGUUAAGAAGAGCUGGGAGGAAACCAGACAGGACUGUAUAGAGAGAGGAGCAGAUCUGGAGUUCAUCAGUAAAAAUUUUGCUGGUACUGAAGCUUGGAUUGG